rnacentral:lncRNA from 1 species
CGUACCUACUUGGAUUCCUUGCCUUUUACUUGUACGACUAAGGAUCUGCAUGACUGCUGCAACGGUUUGCUUCUUAUAUCUCGCAGUGACUACGAACCCACUCAGUAUUUAAUUGGUAAUCCAGCUACGAAGCAAACUAUUCCGAUACCUGUUAAUUCAAAGCAUCAAAAUUCCAACUUGGUGGACUGUUCGCUGGUUUUUGAUCCAGGCGAGUCGUUAGAAUACAAGAUUAUUCGGUUUGUUCACUCGGUUGGUAAAGUCACUAUUAGGUUAGUGGAUGUUUAUUCUUCUGAGACUGGAAACUGGAUCGAGUACAUACUUCCUCUUGCACCAGAGAUUUCUGGACUAGGGUGGCUUAAAAAUUCAGUCUAUCUAAAUGGAGUUCUGUACAAGAUAUCCCGUGAUGGACGCCUCAUUUGCAUAGACGUAAAAUCCAAUCUUGCUAAUUUGAAUGCUUGGUCUACCCUUGAAUUGCCAUUUCAGCCAAUCACAGAUGAGUAUGUAGGUUCUAUUGGAGCAUCAAGAGGCAAUCUUUAUUGCUUCAAUCGAGAUGCAUCUAACUUUCUUCUUUGGAAGCUGAAAAAUGGUGUUCAAUGGGUUCCGGAAUACAAUAUAAGCAUAUUUAGGCUGAUUCAUAGUUCUGUUGGCCGUUAUUAUUGUAAGGUUUUGGGAGAUAAGGUGUGGACUAACUUUCAGCCUUGUGUCUUUCUUCCUACUCUGGACGAAAUUCUCAUUGAAACUCCUUGGUUUCUCGCAACUUAUAGUCAUAAAAGAAACGAUUUUGAUUGGUAUGACAUAGAGAUGCGUGGCUGUAAGACAAGAAGAUUGGGGCAAUCUUUUGCUUACUCGCGAAGCCUUGUUGUCUUCAAUAGCAUCAUCCAUAGGCAUUACGAAUCAUCUGCCUCGUUCAGUAAGUACAAGCUUAUUUAUACUUGUAUCGUGCUAUUCAACUUGCAUAUUUUAUAAGAAUGCAAAAAAUUACUUGCUCCAUUCCAUUUUUUUCUGUUAUAUUUUAUAAGAAUGCAAAAAAUUACUUGUUCCAUUCUAUUUUUUUCUGUCUUAGUUUGACUGGCACGAAAUUUGAGUCUAGAACUUUUCUCUCUUUAACUAAAAUUGUAUAUAAUAUACCAAAAAUAACCGUUGAGUCUUGUGGGUUUUUAGUCAUGUCAUAGUUAUUCCUAUGAGGGAGUGUCAUUAAGGUUUAAUUGAGAAUGUUGGAACUAAAGGCUUACUGAAUAUAGAAAGUGGUUUUCUUUAUGAAACAGAGUAAAAAAGAAAUUGAGGCACAUAAAUUGAAAUAGAGGGAGUUUAAGUUAGUAAUAGUACCUUCUAUUAGUUCAAUCUUCUGCCACCAUUCCCUUCCGCUCGUUUUCCUUUUUUUUCUUGUUCUGUUGCAUAGACUUCAACUUGCAAUCUGACUAAACUUCCCCUUCGCUCGUUUUCUUUUUUUUUCUUGUUCUGUUGCAUAGACUUCAACUUGCAAUCUGACUAAAUAUUAUUUAUUAUUCUUAUUAUUGUUAAUUAUUAUUUCACACAUUGGUAAAUUUGUCAUUGUGCAUGUGUACACUAAUGCUGCUCGGUGGUAAUUGGUAAUCCAGCUACGAGGCAAACUAUUCCGAUACCUGUUAAUUCAAAGCAUCAAAAUUCCAACUUGGUAGACUGUUCGCUGGUUUUUGAUCCAGGCGAGUCGUUAGAAUACAAGAUUAUUCGGUUUGUUCACUCGGUUGGUAAAUUAGGUUAGUGGAUGUUUAUUCUUCUGAGACUGGAAACUGGAUCGAGUACAAACUUCCUCUUGCACCUGAGAUCUCUGGACUAGGGUGGCUUAAAAAUUCAG